AUUGAACGCUGGCGGCAUGCUUUACACAUGCAAGUCGAACGGCAGCGCGGGCUUCGGCCUGGCGGCGAGUGGCGAACGGGUGAGUAAUUCAUCGGAACGUGCCCGGUAGUGGGGGAUAGCCCAGCGAAAGCCGGAUUAAUACCGCAUACGACCUGAGGGUGAAAGCGGGGGACCGAAAGGCCUCGCGCUCUUGGAGCGGCCGAUGUCGGAUUAGCUAGUUGGUGGGGUAAAGGCUUACCAAGGCGACGAUCCGUAGCUGGUCUGAGAGGACGACCAGCCACACUGGGACUGAGACACGGCCCAGACUCCUACGGGAGGCAGCAGUGGGGAAUUUUGGACAAUGGGGGCAACCCUGAUCCAGCCAUGCCGCGUGCGGGAAGAAGGCCUUCGGGUUGUAAACCGCUUUUGUUCGGGAAGAAAUGCUCUGGGCUAAUACCCCGGGGGGAUGACGGUACCGGAAGAAUAAGCACCGGCUAACUACGUG
rnacentral:rRNA from 1 species